GGUCAGCAUAAAAGGUUAGUAGUAUCAUGCUGAGGCUAUGUCAUGCAGCAACUGCUAAAAACAGUGAUACAAAAAGAAGAUUGUCACCAUGUGCCUAAUGCUGUACCAGACUGUGAGCUUACAGGAGAGAUAAUUGGUAUGUCAGUUGUGUCCCCCGAUGUAACAUAUCUUGCAAACCCCAAUGUUUUUGUACUGCUUUUCCACUCUGUAUGUUGGAGUGUAUCCUGCAGAUCCACAACAUUUAUCCUACAACAUAGUACAUAGCAAUUGUUUGAUCAGCGCACCAGCUAAUGUAUAUUUGUUCCUAAUUGGCUAUAGAGAAAAAGAUAAGCCACAUGUUCAAAAAAGCCACUCGGAUGUCUGAUAAACAAUACAAAUUGUGGUAACAAUUCUGACAAACUGUCUUUUCUCUGCUAUACUUAACAGAAAUGAUUGUUACGCUGUAGCUGUGUACAGAAAUGCACCAGAAACCAACUCAGCUUGAUUCCAGAAGACAUCUGUCAUACAUGGGUUAGCUGGAAGCUGACUUGACUUCGCUUUGUUGUCAGAUGCUAUGCAAAAAUGUACUGAUAUGUCAUAUGCACAACCUAUCAUAAAUAAGUAAUGUGCUUUGUGCAAGGAAAGUCAGUGCUGAAUAUCAAGUAGUGUAUUUUGGAAUAAGGUGCCUGGCAUUACUUUUCAGGAAAGUUUA